rnacentral:rRNA from 1 species
ACCAGACUCCUACGGGAGGCAGCAGUGGGGAAUAUUGCACAAUGGGGGAAACCCUGAUGCAGCGACGCCGCGUGAGUGAUGAAGUAUUUCGGUAUGUAAAGCUCUAUCAGCAGGGAAGAUAAUGACGGUACCUGACUAAGAAGCUCCGGCUAAAUACGUGCCAGCAGCCGCGGUAAUACGUAUGGAGCAAGCGUUAUCCGGAUUUACUGGGUGUAAAGGGAGCGCAGACGGCAGGGCAAGUCUGAUGUGAAAGUCCGGGGCUCAACCCCGGGACUGCAUUGGAAACUGUAUUUCUAGAGUGUCGGAGAGGCAAGUGGAAUUCCUGGUGUAGCGGUGAAAUGCGUAGAUAUCAGGAGGAACACCAGUGGCGAAGGCGGCUUGCUGGACGAUGACUGACGUUGAGGCUCGAAAGCGUGGGGAGCAAACAGGAUUAGAUACCCGUGUA